rnacentral:lncRNA from 1 species
UUUUUCUAUUUUGUUUCCAUUUUGAUUUAUUUUUUAACCCUUUCAUUUUCAUUAUUCUGAAAAUAUUUUGAACUUAACUCAUGUUAUUUUUUUCUUUAGUAUUUUAUUUUAUUUUAUUUCAAGUCAUUUGAAUGAUUUUUGGUAGACUUGUGAAGUCUUGAACUUAUGGACUAGUGAAAUCUACUUAGGUCAUAACUUG